rnacentral:rRNA from 1 species
GGCCGCGGGAAUUCGAUUCAGGCCUAACACAUGCAAGUCGAGCGGUAGAGAGAAGCUUGCUUCUCUUGAGAGCGGCGGACGGGUGAGUAAUGCCUAGGAAUCUGCCUGGUAGUGGGGGAUAACGUUCGGAAACGGACGCUAAUACCGCAUACGUCCUACGGGAGAAAGCAGGGGACCUUCGGGCCUUGCGCUAUCAGAUGAGCCUAGGUCGGAUUAGCUAGUUGGUGAGGUAAUGGCUCACCAAGGCUACGAUCCGUAACUGGUCUGAGAGGAUGAUCAGUCACACUGGAA